rnacentral:misc_RNA from 1 species
UACGAAGGGGGCUAGCGUUGUUCGGAAUUACUGGGCGUAAAGCGCCCGUAGGCGGAGUGUUAAGUGAGGGGUGAAAUCCCAGAGCUCAACCCUGGAACUGCCUCUCAUACUGGUAAUCUCGAGUUCGAGAGAGGUGAGUGGAAUUCCGAGUGUAGCGGUGAAAUUCGUAGAUAUUCGGAGGAACACCAGUUGCGAAGGCGGCUCACUAGCUCGAUACUGACGCUGAGGGGCGAAAGCGUGGGGAGCAAACAGG